rfam:Ricinus communis ctg_1100012355931, whole genome shotgun sequence.
AAAUCAAAUGAGGAAUUUGGGUUUUAGAUUUCUCACGAUGGUCAUCUGAGACAAUUUACUAUUGUCGAAGCUGAUUCCAUAAUUCAAUGCUUCUGAUGAUU